rnacentral:rRNA from 1 species
GAUGAACGCUAGCGGCAGGCCUAAUACAUGCAAGUCGAACGGUAAGGCCUCUUCGGAGGUACACGAGUGGCGCACGGGUGCGUAACGCGUAUACAACCUACCCUUAAGAGGGGGAUACUCUAUGGAAACGUAGCAUAAUACCCCAUAUAAUGAUAUGAUGGCAUCAUCAAAUCAUGAAAACUCCGGUGCUUAGGGAUGGGUAUGCGUGACAUUAGCUAGUUGGUAAGGUAAUUGCUUACCAAGGCUACGAUGUCUAGCUGGUCUGAGAGGAUGAUCAGCCACACUGGAACUGAGACACGGUCCAG